CCCUGUGACAAGCUAUAGUACCAACCUGGCAGAACAUUACCAGGAAGGAUAUGCAAUGUCUGAUGAUGGCUUUGAGUCAUGUUAUUCAUAUACUCAACAAAAAUAAAUAAAUCUAAGAGAUACUAACAGAUCGUGAUUGAAUUUAUCAAGACUUACUCGAGGAUGAAGUUUUACCACUAAUUAACCAAUUCGCAAUUAUAACGCAUUGAUUAGG